UACGAAAAAACUUUUAAAUUGUAGUAAAAAUUAAACUUUUGGUGCAAAUUAUGUGGUCGGCAACAUCGUUUUCACUUUGACGCUUUGCCUUGUUAUUAUUCGUUGAAAAUCAUGUAUUUGCUUGUAAACGUUCAAGUCGAUUAUGUCUGACAUAUGGUGAUAGUCGAUUAUUUGGAGUCGCCUUUCUGCUGCCGAAAACUACCGGUUGGUGAAUUUUCAUACACGUUUUUAGAACAGCGUUUUUGCAAAUAUAAUAGUGACCACCUUACAUACAAUACAAAAACUACAGUUAGACUUCACAGACGAGCAAGUGCAGCGGAAGAUGUGUGUUGAAGAGCUGGUUUUUAGAAACGAAGGCAAGUAUGCGCGUAUUUCUACCGCGUAUUUCUACCAUUUCAUAGAUGACAUUGAUCGUGCUGUGUAUGAUGGUGCAAAUACCUAGUAUCACGCUACCCGGUCUAGAACAAUAUGCUGUACGUAAAUGCAUGCGCAACACCUACACGAGCAAGUCCUCGCGCUUUACGUCUACAUUUACACGUUUUUGAUUUCUGCCCGAAUCAUCGCAAUUAUUAAAAGUGGAUUAUAUUAUCAAUAUAGAAAUUUUUCGAUGUAUUAGUUUUAGACUAUAUGAAUAUAUUUUCCUAACUAUACUAAUAAAAUAUUAAGGUAGACAAAUUUUAAACAAUAAACUAAUAAAUUUGUAAUUUUUUCAAUUUUAACUCUUCUAA